GACGAACGCUGGCGGCGUGCCUAAUACAUGCAAGUUGAGCGAUGAAGCUUGGUGCUUGCACCAAUUUGAAGAGCAGCGAACGGGUGAGUAACGCGUGGGGAAUCUGCCUUUGAGCGGGGGACAACAUUUGGAAACGAAUGCUAAUACCGCAUAACAACUUUAAACAUAAGUUUUAAGUUUGAAAGAUGCAAUUGCAUCACUCAAAGAUGAUCCCGCGUUGUAUUAGCUAGUUGGUGAGGUAAAGGCUCACCAAGGCGAUGAUACAUAGCCGACCUGAGAGGGUGAUCGGCCACAUUGGGACUGAGACACGGCCCAAACUCCUACGGGAGGCAGCAGUAGGGAAUCUUCGGCAAUGGACGAAAGUCUGACCGAGCAACGCCGCGUGAGUGAAGAAGGUUUUCGGAUCGUAAAACUCUGUUGGUAGGGAAGAACGUUGGUGAGAGUGGAAAGCUCAUCAAGUGACGGUAACUACCCAGAAAGGGACGGCUAACUACGUG
rnacentral:rRNA from 1 species